UUUUUGCCCUUCCAACAAAAUAUUUUUGCCCUUGCUAAAGGUUAUUAAAGUAAUUAACAAAAUAAAAAUUACUCCAUGCCAAGCGUUGUGUUCUCAUUGGUCAGUUUAAUCAUUUGUUGUACUUGCAUAGGUGUUUUUCCCUUCUCUCUUCCGGUAACCUUUCCCUUCUCUCUCACUAUUUUCUCUUUUCUCCUUUCCGUUUUCCUUUCAAACCCUAACCAACACCGCAAGUGGAUUGCCGAACAAACCCAUGGCGCAAGUGGAUUGCCGAACAAACCCAUGCUCAUUGUGAACGCCGAACUGAAGAGGUUGCUCGUGAGGCAAAUAGCUUUCCUGCUUCCUCUUCCCCUUUCAGGCGAUAAAAUUAGAAUUCCAAUUCCGUAACCCUCUCAUUGCAUUUUGUAUUUUGUUCCUGAUUUGUUUGUCAGUAACUUGCAGAUCUACGCUUGUUCGAUCCCACUCCAUCGUUUCUGCUCUCCUUUCAUCACUUUUGUUUUCAAGGAAUAUUGGAAGAGAAGUGGUCAAAUACUAGCUCUUAGAGUAAAUGUUGGAACUGAACCUGAUGCAGAUCUUGGUCCGGUUAUCAGAUCUUAGAACCCAGAACAUAUUUCAUGGCCAGAUGUGGAUUAACUGCAAGGCUUAAGUUCUUUGGGGACCAAAUGCAGAAGAUCCUUCUCACGUAGAGACGUGGUUUCGUUAACGAGCAACCUGAGGGCUGAAAGAGGCAAUGACAACCAUUCUGCUGCUUCAUCUAGAUCAUCACUAUUCAACUCAGCCUUGAUGCAUAAGUCUUCCAAACUCGUGGAACCUUCUGAUGAUGGUCUUCUGGAGUGUAUAUUGGGCAUUGAUUUCUGAUUUUUUAUGUGUGUUGCAGGUAGGUGGGUUUUGAACUGGUUUGAAAGUCCAAUUAUGAAUGAAUGCUCUUGUGCAGUAUGUUGUAGGUUGUUUUUGUCUCCAGGCUUUUGCUUGUGAUGAUGAAGAUUUGAAUUGGUUUACAGGGCUGACAGUGCAGUUGGUAAUUAGUGAAACUGUGAAGUUGUGCUUGUGCAUUGAAUAUAAUAUGUCAUGGGCUGGCUAUUUGGUAAGUGUAUGAAUAUAAUGUCAUUGAACUAAAGACAUCAACAUCAUAUUUCUUUUCUGCUAUGGUGCUACGGGAGUUGAAAAAGCAUACAAUGCUAGGCACUGUGGAUAAUACAAUAUAUGGAUUUAAAUAAACUUAAUUUAUAGCAUUGAAGAAUCACUUGAUUUUUAUGUUCAAUUUAGUACACUUAUGUUUUGUCCUCUAUUCAUUGCUACUUAUUCAUAAUGCCGAAUUUAAAUACUUGUAUUGCUCAACAAUGUAGUCUUUUGUGUUUAAUAUUUUUACUAAUUUGUAGUACUUAACAGUUAUAGUAAAUUAAGUUUCAAUCUGUGUUUUGACCGGGGAAGUUCUAUGAGAGAUGCAGCUUCUUCUAAGGCUUAUACACAAAUAUUUAAUUCAUCUACAAGGGAGAAAGUGGUGUGUUUGUGUACAUCGGAGCAAUUGUGAUCAUUUGUUUGUUUUUAAUACAUGAGCCUAGUCUAUUUGUUUGUUAUUAAUACAUGAGCCUAAUCUAGGCAACCAUUGCAUAUUUGUAUAAUUGUUAUUUUCUUAUUUAUCUUUUAUUUUAAUACUAUUAAUAUGAAAAUUAAUACUACCUACUUUUAUUUUUGGGUCAAAUAUAUUUUUGGCUAUGUUUUUAUUCUAGAAACUUUUAAUUAAGAUAUUUAAUUAAGACAUGAGCAAUUUUUUUCUAUGCGGUAUCACAAAUCUUCUACUACAUGAUUGACAUUAACUAUAUAUAAAUAUUGUUGUAAAUCUUGACAAAAAAUAUUUUUUACGG